rnacentral:rRNA from 1 species
GCCAAAAACCUAGCCCCUCCCCAAAGAAAAAUGAACAACAAAAUUAACCUCAUUAACCAAAACAUUUUUAUACCUUAGUAAAGGCGAUUGAAAAACUAAUAGGAGCUACAUCUAAAGUACCGCAAGGGAAAGGUGAAAUAAAAUGAAAUAAACAUUAAGCACUUAAAAGUAGAGAUUAACCCUCGUACCUUUUGCAUCAUGGUUUAACUAGUCUAAUCAAGCAAAACGACUUAUAGUUUGACCCCCCGAAACUAAGCGAGCUACUUCAGGGCAGCUUAUUGAGCAAACCCGUCCCUGUUGCAAAAGGGUGGGAAGACCCCCAAGUAGAGGUGAUAGACCUAACGAGCCUAGUGAUAGCUGGUUACUCGAGAAAAAGAUUUUAGUCCAGCCUAAAGACUCAUUAAUACUAAAAUAUAAUUUAAUGCUUUAGAGUAAUUCAAAUAAGGUACAGCCUAUUUGAUUCAGGAUACAACCUCACCUGAAGGGUAAAAAAACAUUCUACAACAACCAAGUGGGCCUAAAAGCAGCCAUCUUAAAAUAGCGUCAAAGCUUAAUUGUUAACACUCUCAAUUCCAAAAAUAAUCUAGAACCCUCCACCACUAUCGAGUAAUUCUAUAUAUCUAUAGAAUAUUUUAUGUUAAAACUAGUAACAAGAAGAAGACCUUCUCUUAAAUGUAAGUGUAAAUCAAAAAGAACCGACAAAUGAUUAUUAACAUACUUGAACAAAAAUUAGCAACCCAACAAGAAAAACCUACUUUUUUUUAUGUUAACCUAACACAAGAACAUUACAAGAAAGAUUAAAAGAAAAAGAAGGAACUCGGCAAACAUUAACCCCGCCUGUUUACCAAAAACAUCGCCUCUUGAACAAAUAUAAGAGGUCCAGCCUGCCCAGUGACUCUGUUCAACGGCCGCGGUAUCCUAACCGUGCGAAGGUAGCGUAAUCACUUGUUCUUUAAAUAAGGACUAGUAUGAAUGGCACCACGAAGGUUAUACUGUCUCCUUUUUCUAAUCAGUGAAACUAAUCCCCCCGUGAAGAAGCGGGGAUAAAUGUAUAAGACGAGAAGACCCUAUGGAGCUUUAAACUAAAUAACACCUGCUUCAAUAAUUUUUAUUUCAGAAUACUAACAUCUAUUUUAGCUUCAUGAUUUUUAGUUUUAGGUUGGGGUGACCACGGAGCAAAAUAAAACCUCCAUAUUGAAUGGGACUAUAAACCCUGAGCAAAGAGCAACAACUCUAUGCACCAAUAAAUUGACAUCAAUUGACCCAAUAUUUUGAUCAAUGAACCAAGUUACCCUAGGGAUAACAGCGCAAUCCGCCUCAAGAGCCCCUAUCGACAGGCGGGUUUACGACCUCGAUGUUGGAUCAGGGUACCCCGGUGGUGCAGCCGCUACCAAAGGUUCGUUUGUUCAACGAUUAAAACCCU